UGGGUCAAAAAUAAAAAUUUUAAAGAGGCU
rnacentral:piRNA from 1 species